GGGCGCAAGCCUGAUCCAGCCAUGCCGCGUGAGUGAAGAAGGCCUUCGGGUUGUAAAGCCCUUUUGUUGGGAAAGAAAUCCAGUCGGCUAAUACCCGGUUGGGAUGACGGUACCCGAAGAAUAAGCACCGGCUAACUUCGUGCCAGCAGCCGCGGUAAUACGAAGGGUGCAAGCGUUACUCGGAAUUACUGGGCGUAAAGCGUGCGUAGGUGGUUGUUUAAGUCUGCUGUGAAAGCCCUGGGCUCAACCUGGGAAUUGCAGUGGAUACUGGGCGACUAGAGUGUGGUAGAGGAUAGUGGAAUUUCCGGUGUAGCAGUGAAAUGCGUAGAGAUCGGAAGGAACAUCUGUGGCGAAGGCGACUAUCUGGGCCAACACUGACACUGAGGCACGAAAGCGUGGGGAGCAAACAGGAUUAGAUACCCUGGUAGUCCACGCCCUAAACGAUGCGAACUGGAUGUUGGGCACAACUUGGUGCCCAGUAUCGAAGCUAACGCGUUAAGUUCGCCGCCUGGGGAGUACGGUCGCAAGACUGAAACUCAAAGGAAUU
rnacentral:rRNA from 1 species